AUCAGGGUCACACAGUGUGAAACAGAGAGAGGAAAAACCUGAAAGGCAUAACAUGUUUUUUUUUUUCAAUACACACACGCAGCCACACUCAAACACAAGAUUCACAAUACUGGACAGAGGGUCUUUGAGGACUGCUAUAGACCGGGACCAGGCCAUAAAGGUUUAGACAGAGGAGGGUCUUUUGAGGACUGCUGGAGACUGGGACCAGGCCAUAAAGGUUUAGACAGAGGAGGGUCUUUUGAGGACUGCUGGAGACUGGGACCAGGCCAUAAAGGUUUAGACAGAGGAGGGUCUUUUGAGGACUGCUGGAGACUGGGACCAGGCCAAGAGGGGUUAGACGAGGGCUUGAGGCCCGGAGGUCUCUUUCUGCUGGACUCCCACACACACGCUGCCAUUCUGCUGGGUGAUCAGUGCCAUGUUCUCAGGCAUAAACUACAUAGGCUUAUCUCCUGCCCUGCUCUGCUUGGCACAGACACAGCCCAGCUUCUCUCUCUGGGUUCACCUCAUACAGCCCUGGCUCUGCUGCUCACUGCUUACUGCUCAGGCCACCCACGACACACAGAGGAACAAAACCCAGUCUGUUAGUUAGACGCAGGAAGCAACAUCGAGUCUGUCAGCUAGACGCAGAUAGCAACAACCAGUCUGUCAGCUAGACGCAGGAGGCAACAUCCAGUCUGUCAGCUAGACGCAGGAGGCAACAUCCAGUCUGUCAGCUAGAUGCAGGUAGUAAAUGGCAAGUCUGCAUUACACGUUACUACCAGACCUGGGUAUUCUUUCAAAUACUUUCAGCCUGUCUGUAUUUAGCAAAGAUGAUAACACAUAAUCACUCCAGACAGACACAAGCAAAAACUCAUGACGUAAAUGUUGCAGCAGCCUAGGCUACACCUAAACAUUAGAAAUCUGACAUGCUGUUUCGGAUGAAAGGAGGAUUUUUCAGUCUGAUCAACUGUUAAAAAAAGCCCCACCACUCUGGGACCUACUGUGUGGUGCCACCAGUCUGCCUGCAGUUGUCAGCUAUCGUCAGGUAUGUGGAUGAUCAGGGCUUUAUUCAGGAAGGUUUCUUGGAAUACUUGAUGUGUCAAGAGGACGAAUUUUGAGAUGUCUGAGUUUAACUUCAUAGAGAAACUCGUUGUCCAAACCUUCGAUGGCGCAGCUGUAAUGUAAUGUAUCUGCUAUUUGUAUUUACAGCUCAGUCCCCUCCUGCUCCCUGAUUAAGAGGUGAUGACUACUCCACUCCACUACCAUUGUCAACUUUCUCCUGACAUGAACUGAAGCCACGUCUCAUGUGCUCGCUCAUCCACUGGCACAUUGAAUGUUUCCCCUCCAAUCACUUUUUUUGUCUUCCCAGUCAAAUCCUGUCCUGCACUUGUCAAGCCUCUGAACACCUCAACUCAUGCCUCAUACUCUCAUUCAAUCACGGCUGUGAUCCCUUUCCAGCAUGGUCAUCUCAUUCCAUUUCACCAAGCCUCCUUCCAACCUAGACUCAGGUACUGUUUUAAUCAUUUAUUCUUGUUCAUAAACAGUAUUAACACUGUAAGUCUGACCUAUAGUUCAUUAACAGGUAUUAACACUGUAAGUCUGACCUAUAGUUCAUUAACAGGUAUUAACACUGUAAGUCUGACUUAUAGUUCAUUAACAGGUAUUAACACUGUAAUUCUGAUUUAUAGUUCAUUAACAGGUAUUAACACUGUAAGUCUGACCUAUAGUUCAUUAACAGGUAUUAACACUGUAAGUCUGACUUAUAGUUCAUUAACAGGUAUUAACACAAUAAGUCUGACUUAUAGUUCAUUAACAGGUAUUAACACUGUAAGUCUGACUUAUAGUUCAUUAACAGGUAUUAACACUGUAAGUCUGACUUAUAGUUCAUUAACAGGUAUUAACACUGUAAGUCUGACUUAUAGUUCAUUAACAGGUAUUAACACUGUAAGUCUGACCUAUAGUUCAUUAACAGGUAUUAACACAAGUCUGACUUACAGCUUGGCUAAUAAAUUAAUGUGAAAAAGGAAAAGCACAUCCUAACACCAGUCCAACUGUUGAAGAAUUAUGUAACAGGUUAUUUUCUGUCUUUCUUUUGUUGAGGUAAACACCAGAGGAGUUGACGCCAGGCCAGGGGUCCAUAUGUCACCUUGUCUGCUCUGAGAGAUGACUAAUAGAACUCUCUGACCUGAGAUGUGUUAGGUGCUCUAGUUCUCUCUCUCUCUGUCUCCCUGUCUCUCUGUCUCUCUCUCUCUCUCUCUCUCUCUCUCUCUCUCUCUCUCUCUCUCUCUCUCUCUCUCUCUCUCUCUCUCUCUCUCUCUCUCUCUCCUAUUCCUCUGUAAGGAGUGAUGUCUAAUGAUGUGGCACAUACAGGAUCAAGCAAUGUUGUAUGGGGUGGAGGUUUGUGGUAGAUAAGCCCUGAGCUUACAUGCUUCCUGCCUUUGUCUGUCAGACAGCUGCUUCAAAGACUUACUGUGCAGGCAUUGAUGACACACACACACACACACACACACACACACACA